CCUACGGGAGGCAGCAGUGGGGAAUAUUGCACAAUGGGGGAAACCCUGAUGCAGCGACGCCGCGUGAGUGAAGAAGUAAUUCGUUAUGUAAAGCUCUAUCAGCAGGGAAGAAAAUGACGGUACCUGAGUAAGAAGCCCCGGCUAACUACGUGCCAGCAGCCGCGGUAAUACGUAGGGGGCAAGCGUUAUCCGGAGUUACUGGGUGUAAAGGGAGCGUAGACGGCAGUGCAAGUCUGGAGUGAAAGGCGGGGGCUCAACCCCCGGACUGCUCUGGAAACUGUACGGCUGGAGUGCAGGAGAGGUAAGUGGAAUUCCUGGUGUAGCGGUGAAAUGCGGAGAUAUUAGGAGGAACACCAGUGGCGAAGGCGGCUUACUGGACUGUAACUGACGUGGAGGCUCGAAAGCGUGGGGAGCAAACAGGAUUAGAUACCCUAGUAGUC
rnacentral:rRNA from 1 species